AGGAACGAUGUGCGCUGACACAGGAAUGCUGUGAUUGGAAUAAUUUCACUACUUGCUCCCCCAGAGAAAAGCAGAACUCGUGACUUUUUCCCCAAAAAGUAACAAGAGUUAAGGAGUCCUUUGUCUGGGAAUCAGGCGCCUUCUUUAGUUUGGAAGUUGAUAGAGUCGCGCCUUUUACAGGACCAACACGUUUAAAAUACAUUGACCUCUGGUAUGCUUUGAAUCAUAUACAAGUGUUCUCAAGUGCGCUACAUUUCCAGAGAUGUGAGGCGAAUGGGGGUGGGCACACAUUUUAAGCUGAUUUUGGACUGAAGUGAACAUAGUUGGAUUGGUAACCAGGCCUCAGACCUAACAAGCUGCAGUGGAGCUUGUUGGGCCCCAGCCCUUAGAAAUUAGUUCCUGGCGGACAUGUGGCUCGGCAUGCCAGGAAUACAGAAAGAACAUCUUGGAAAAAUGCCUUGGCCAUACGUGGGGUGGUAUGACAGAAAAUAAAAGAUAACCACCGGUCUGUGCGUUGCCAGAUAAUAAAUGCAAACCCCUCUCCCUGUCUCAUUUAAAUUUGUUCUCAUUCACUAAAUUCAUUAAUAUGGAGACACAGUCUCUGCUGAUUAUGAAAGGAAAUGCAUACUGUAGGAGCCUUGGGUUGCAGGGCAGUGAAGCGAAAAAGGGGAGGAACAGUGUAAUGCUCCGGAAUAUUCUCCCACAUGCUCUUUCAGCUCACCACAGUCUGGAAUGGAUUUUACUUUUUUUAUCCUUCUCAGAGAAACUGCAAUCAUAGUAUGGAGAGAGAGACAGAUUGAGAGAGAAAGCGAGAGAGGGUUUGAAAGACAAGGGGAAAGAGAAAGA